rnacentral:tRNA from 1 species
GGUGUUGGGGCUCAGUGGUAGAGCACUUGCUUAGCAUGUGUGAGGCACUGGGUUCGAUUCUCAACACCA